UGGGGAAUUUUGGACAAUGGGGGAAACCCUGAUCCAGCCAUCCCGCGUGUGCGAUGAAGGCCUUCGGGUUGUAAAGCACUUUUGGCAGGAAAGAAACGUCAUGGGUUAAUACCCCGUGAAACUGACGGUACCUGCAGAAUAAGCACCGGCUAACUACGUGCCAGCAGCCGCGGUAAUACGUAGGGUGCAAGCGUUAAUCGGAAUUACUGGGCGUAAAGCGUGCGCAGGCGGUUCGGAAAGAAAUAUGUGAAAUCCCAGGGCUCAACUUUGGAACUGCAUUUUUAACUACCGGGCUAGAGUGUGGCAGAGGGAGGUGGAAUUCCGCGUGUAGCAGUGAAAUGCGUAGAUAUGCGGAGGAAAACCGAUGGGGAAGGCAGACACCUGGGAUAACACUGACGCGCAUGCACGAAAGCGUGGGGAGAAAACAGG
rnacentral:rRNA from 1 species